rnacentral:rRNA from 1 species
GACGAACGCUGGCGGCGUGCUUAACACAUGCAAGUCGAACGGAAAGGCCUGCAGCUUGCUGCGGGUACUCGAGUGGCGAACGGGUGAGUAACACGUGGGUGAUCUGCCUUGCACUUCGGGAUAAGCUUGGGAAACUGGGUCUAAUACCGGAUAGGACAGCUGUUUAGUGUCAGUUGUGGAAAGUUUUUUCGGUGCAAGAUGAGCUCGCGGCCUAUCAGCUUGUUGGUGGGGUAAUGGCCUACCAAGGCGUCGACGGGUAGCCGGCCUGAGAGGGUGUACGGCCACAUUGGGACUGAGAUACGGCCCAGACUCCUACGGGAGGCAGCAGUGGGGAAUAUUGCACAAUGGGCGGAAGCCUGAUGCAGCGACGCCGCGCGGGGGAUGAAGGCCUUCGGGUUGUAAACUCCUUUCGACAGGGACGAAGCUUUUGUGACGGUACCUGUAUAAGAAGCACCGGCUAACUACGUGCCAGCAGCCGCGGUAAUACGUAGGGUGCGAGCGUUGUCCGGAAUUACUAGGCGUAAAGAGCUCGUAGGUGGUUUGUCGCGUCGUCUGUGAAAUUCCGGGGCUUAACUCCGGGCGUGCAGGCGAUACGGGCUGACUUGAGUGCUGUAGGGGAGACUGGAAUUCCUGGUGUAGCGGUGAAAUGCGCAGAUAUCAGGAGGAACACCGAUGGCGAAGGCAGGUCUCUGGGCAGUAACUGACGCUGAGGAGCGAAAGCAUGGGUAGCGAACAGG